AUUGAACGCUGGCGGUAUGCUUAAGACAUGCAAGUCGAACGGUAACAGACCUUCGGGUGCUGACGAGUGGCGGACGGGUGAGUAACACGUGGGAAUCUACCUUGUAGUGGGGGAUAAGCCAGGGAAACUUGGACUAAUACCGCAUACGCCCUAAGGGGGAAAGGAGCAAUUCGCUAUAAGAUGAGCCCGCGUCUGAUUAGCUAGUUGGUGAGGUAAAGGCUCACCAAGGCGACGAUCAGUAGCUGGUCUGAGAGGAUGACCAGCCACAUUGGGACUGAGACACGGCCCAGACUCCUACGGGAGGCAGCAGUCGGGAAUAUUGGACAAUGGGGGCAACCCUGAUCCAGCAAUACCGCGUGUGUGAAGAAGGCCUGCGGGUUGUAAAGCACUUUUAGUAGGGAAGAUAAUGACGGUACCUACAGAAAAGCCCCGGCUAACUCCGUG
rnacentral:rRNA from 1 species